rnacentral:rRNA from 1 species
CAAUAGCAUAUAUUAAAGUUGUUGCAGUUAAAAAGCUCGUAGUUGGAUUUCUGGCAUGAUGCGCCUGGCCCGCCUCCAUUAGGAGUGUGUGUGCGAGUGCGCGUCUGCCAUCCAUUUGCAGAAUGUGUCUACUCUUCAUUGAGCCGGAUACGUGAUGUAAAUCUUUUACUUUGAAAAAUUAGAGUGUUUAAAGCAGGCAUUUGCUAUGAAUACAUUAGCAUGGAAUAAUAAUCUAGGACUUCGGUUCUAUUUUGUUGGUUUCUAGAUCUGAAGUAAUGAUUGAUAGGGAUAGUUGGGGUGCUAGUAUUAAAGGGGCCAGAGGUGAAAUUUCUUGGAUUUGUUAAAGACGGACUACUGCGAAAGCAUUUGCCAAGGAUGUUUUUCAUUGAUCAAGAACGAAAGUUAGGGGAUCGAAGAUGAUCAGU